UCAGCGGAAAGUAGCUUGCUACUUUGCCGGCGAGCGGCGGACGGGUGAGUAAUGUCUGGGGAUCUGCCUGAUGGAGGGGGAUAACUACUGGAAACGGUAGCUAAUACCGCAUAACCUCGCAAGAGCAAAGUGGGGGACCUUCGGGCCUCACGCCAUCGGAUGAACCCAGAUGGGAUUAGCUAGUAGGUGGGGUAAUGGCUCACCUAGGCGACGAUCCCUAGCUGGUCUGAGAGGAUGACCAGCCACACUGGAACUGAGACACGGUCCAGACUCCUACGGGAGGCAGCAGUGGGGAAUAUUGCACAAUGGGCGCAAGCCUGAUGCAGCCAUGCCGCGUGUGUGAAGAAGGCCUUCGGGUGUAAAGCACAACAUCCCAAAAAAACCCA
rnacentral:rRNA from 1 species